UCUAGCCUGCCCAGUGACCCUGUUAAACGGCCGCGGUACCCUAACCGCGCGAAGGUAGCAUAAUCACUUGUUCUUUAAAUGAGGACUUGUAUCAACGGCAUCACGAGGGUUCCACUGUCUCCUUUUUCUAAUCAGUGAAACUAAUCUCCCCGUGAAGAAGCGGGGAUAAGCCUAUAAGACGAGAAGACCCCAUGGAGCUUUAAAUCCAGCUACACCCCCCCCCCCCCC
rnacentral:rRNA from 1 species